AUUGAACGCUGGCGGCAUGCUUUACACAUGCAAGUCGAACGGUAACAGGCCGCAAGGUGCUGACGAGUGGCGAACGGGUGAGUAAUACAUCGGAACGUGCCCGAGAGUGGGGGAUAACGAGGCGAAAGCUUUGCUAAUACCGCAUACGAUCUCAGGAUGAAAGCAGGGGACCGCAAGGCCUUGCGCUCACGGAGCGGCCGAUGGCAGAUUAGGUAGUUGGUGGGAUAAAAGCUUACCAAGCCGACGAUCUGUAGCUGGUCUGAGAGGACGACCAGCCACACUGGGACUGAGACACGGCCCAGACUCCUACGGGAGGCAGCAGUGGGGAAUUUUGGACAAUGGGCGCAAGCCUGAUCCAGCCAUGCCGCGUGCAGGAUGAAGGCCUUCGGGUUGUAAACUGCUUUUGUACGGAACGAAAAGACUCUGGUUAAUACCUGGGGUCCAUGACGGUACCGUAAGAAUAAGCACCGGCUAACUACGUGCCAGCCGCCGCCGUAAAAC
rnacentral:rRNA from 1 species